UUCGACGAGCUACGAAACGACGACGCGAGGUUAUGAAGCGCGACCCGGCACAACAACAAACGUUCGUCUGCCGUGCAACAGUUGUCAGUCCUGCGCUCGAGGCGCUGGCGGCCGCUAGAGAGUUUGCGAAAACGAAGUUGGCGGGCCUGCGUGCAGCAGCCACUUUCCCGCCAACUUCCACGCCAGCUGUCCGGCAAGUGUGAUUUCGCGAGCGAUUGAUCUUUAUUAUUUUUGGCGAACACCGAGCUCGCGCGAGUCCCGCGCUACACCGUAUCGCGAAAUCACUGUUAAUCGCUCGACGUGGUACGAUUCGGCCGACUGUCCACGAAUUUCUUACCUAUUAUUUUACGACCGGAACGACAGAGCAAUCUCUCGCGCGUGAUUUCUUCCGAACUCGUCGAUACUCUGGAGAUUACUUCGCGAAACAACCGCGGCGCGGCGUUACUGGUCGCGUCUCUUCCGGUUAACUUCCCUCCUUUUUAUCUCGCAAAUGGCGGUACGGUGAAUUCGCGCGAAUUUAGCGGGCGAUUAAUUCUCAUUUUUUAUUGAUAUCAAACGCUCGGGUGCGCGAUCGCGAGUUAUCAAUCGUUUCUUCAGACACUCGUCUAUCUCGUGUAAUGUAGUCGUGCUCGAUCUCGCGGUCGAUAUUUUAUGUCGCCAUACAUGACAUUUGCAUAUUCAACUCUGACAAUGAGCUCGACAUAGCACAGCAAAAAAAAGAAUUCUAAAAGCAAGUAACCUUAUUUGCUUCCAAGGCCCCGGAGGGAUUCGAACCCUCGAUCUCCUGUUUACUAGACAGGCGCUUUAACCAACUAAGCCACGGCGCCGUUGGACGAAUAGACAACGCGUAAAAUUCGGGAGUGCCGUUAAAAGUAUCGCGAGUACAAGUGCGGGAGUGCCGUUAAAAGUAUAUCGCGCGUAUGAGUGCGGGAGUGCCGUCAAAAGUAUCGCGCGUGUUAACCCUGACAACCUGAGAGGAGGAGGAGGCCUGGAAGGCAUCGGGCACCGGCCGAGUAACCCUAAGACAACGUCAACUACUUCAUUGUUGUGCAUUGGUGUUAUAUUUUUCGGCGUUUAAUGGAGGAUCACCGAGUGAUUCAAUCGUUUCGUCGUGAUGUCAGAUCCAUAACGGGAGGACGUACAAAGGGAUGCUGAAACAUGAUCGGUCGUUGCUGCUUCAAGGAUUUACGAUCGUCUUUACGCCAUUGGAAUUGGGAGUGCAACGACAUAAAUCACGCGGCGUGCUCGUUUUAUUACGGUGUAGUCGAUCGCGUACCGAUUACGCAACGAACUCAUAGCUAGCCGAUGAUGUAUAUGCCUGAUAAUUGUCGAUUUCAAUCUGCUGAAACAGUCCGCUAAUAAAUAAUUUAAUGCGCCGGGUUUUCGUGCAUCGGUGAUUGCGAGCGAUGCACGGUCGGUCGGUUGCAUGCCGUGCAUUGAUAGGUACAAUGCGACGUGAUUGUACCAAUCAUGCGAUAUUAUAAUCAAUAAUACACGCUAUUAAACCCUAACUAUGCACGACUGCUACCGCUGCUACUAAUACAGGCUAUGCACCGCAGCGCUAUUAAGGCUCCAGCGGCUCUCAUAUCGUCACGAGUUCGCUUUCUCACGAAUAAAUUUGCCAUCAAAUUCGAAUUAAUAUGAAAUCGAUAUCAAACGUGUAAAGGACAUCCUGAAUAUUUAAUGUAAAUUAGACGGGGCGCAACGCGCGAGAGCCAUAUCGCGAAGACUCAAAAGUAUGGUAAAUCGUAAAGUGACGCGUUUGAUUGAAAUAAGACGUGACGAUGAGAACCUCUGGGUAAGAUCAAGUAAAUAGAAACAGGCAGUGCCAGUCAGUGCUCGGGGAAACGCAGCAUGAGACCUUUGAACGUCCGCACUGUCUUUGCGUUUCUAUGGAUCGUCGAAUAUGCGGAGGAUCAACGAAACGCUGCGAUAGGACAUGCGUCACUCGUGCAGCUAUAGAUAGUCAGUCAAUCGAUCAUGUUGAUAUGCAUGUUUGAUUGAUGUAAUCGAGGAUCGGUCGCGUUGCGGAACUCUAUACAUUCGGCGCAUGAAACAGGCAACAACAGGCUACGAAACAACAGGGAAACGGGAAUUUAAUCAUGUUAGAUUUUAAUGACAGAUACUAAUUAUUUUUAAUCUAAUUUAUAUGGGGAACGGGGAGAACAUGACGUUGCAGAUAAAUUCGCGGGACAGAUUUGUGCAGUAGCGAAACGCGCUUUUAAUGCCGGAGGAGCGUCAUGGCCUGGGUUUCAAACCGAGAAACGAAAACUCUCUUCAAUUAUUUGUCUUCCUCGCUUCCGCGCAACGGGAAGUUUUCCCAAUGGCUCUCCAGGUUAAUACUUCCGAGGGACUUAAUACUCUUUGUACCUAUUUAUAACUGCGAGACGGAAUCGCGGGCACGUAAUCUUCCAUUAUAAUUGACCUCUCCGCCGUUACUCGUUGUUCCGCGGGUAAGCGCGAGUAGUAGACAGGGGAUCUCGUCAUGAAGGGGUCGAAGGUGGAGAAGGGGAGCGGUCGCGAAGUGGGGCGAGUAAGGGUUAGAGGGGGGUGAGAAUCAUUCUCUCCCCCUUUCCCGUCUAUCCCCGCGAAUGUACCGCUGGUACACGUCGGUCGGUAUUUAUUUUACAAAACGUUUCUUCCUCGCUCUUUCCGCCGCGCCCGACUUAAUUUACCACCCGAGGUAUUAAUUAUAAAAAAGUCGUAACUAAAUGCCCAGCAGGACGGAGUUACGCGCGAGCGCGGCUUUAAUUUUCCUAUUUGUCGGGGAAGUUAGCGUCUGAAGCGAGCGCGGAAAUCAUUAGCGAAGUAAAAACCCGGCUCCCACGCGACUUCACCAAUACCAAAGCGACGGCGGGCGCUCGCUUAUAAGGCGCGAUGUCGUUACGCUUUACCCCGCGAAAUUGAAUUUGGGAUUCCCCGCUCAAUGCGGAGAUAAAACCGCGUUACGUGCACCGCUGGAAAGUCGCGCGCGAAGUGGAGCCGUCAAUUAAUAUGCGCGACGGCCAACUUCUUUCUGAUACACGCUCUCUUCUCGUAUUGCGCGAAGAAACACUCUUUCCGAGAUGAUAAAAUAAAAUGUACUCUCCAAGUGUACGGACAGUCCAAGCGAUUAAAUAAAUUGAAAAUCUAUUAUUGCGUGUCUCGUAGAGAGAUAUCAUUUUUAAUGUACUUGCAUAGAGGCUCUUAAAAUCUUGUUGUUUGAUAAUAUCAAAACUCUGAUCGUAAUUGUAACUAGAAACGUGUCGCUUCUUUUGAACCAUUUGUUUUUUCUAUAAUUGAAUGACAGAGGGGCCGAGAGAGACGAGGAGCCAAAUACGACGACGAGGUCGCUCCUCGCUCUUCUCGUAAAUAAAUAAUUAGAAUCUCCCUUCAA